rnacentral:rRNA from 1 species
AACGCGAAGAACCUUACCUGGGUUGAACUACGCAGGAAAAGCCGUAGAGAUACGGUGUCCGAAAGGGCCUGCGAUAGGUGGUGCAUGGCUGUCGUCAGCUCGUGUCGUGAGAUGUUGGGUUAAGUCCCGCAACGAGCGCAACCCUUACCUCCAGUUGCCAUCAUUUAGUUGGGCACUCUGGCGGAACCGCCUCGGAUAACGGGGAGGAAGGUGGGGAUGACGUCAAGUCCUCAUGGCCUUUAUGUCCAGGGCUACACACGUGCUACAAUGGUCGGUACAAACCGUUGCAAACCCGGGGGCAGGGGGAGCUAAUCGGAAAAAGCCGACCUCAGUUCGGAUCGCAGUCUGCAACUCGACUGCGUGAAGCUGGAAUCGCUAGUAAUCGCGGAUCAGAAUGCCGCGGUGAAUACGUUCCCGGGCCUUGUACACACCGCUGUA